UGCCCAGCACGGGGCCUGGCACGUGGUGAGAACUUAGUCACCAACUUUGGUUGUUGUUGGUGACGUCAGCAGGACACAAAGGACAAAAGAGAGGGUGGAAUUUCAUUUCCAAGCACCGGGAGCAUGACACAGAGCCAGCAGGGAGCAGUGGGCUCCAGAGCCCUAGGGACCCCCUUCUCAUGCCAUGGUCAGUUACCCCUGCAGUGGCACAAACGAGGCACUGAGGAUGAGUGCCAGGGGAAGUUUUCUCAAUGGAAAGAUUUCUUCAUAGCAAGAGUUUCACCAACCCCUUGGGGGCCGUCGAUAAGGAGGCCUAGCUUCUUGACUUCCCAGUGUGUUACGUAAGCCCAAGAGGCUGAUCAAAAGGGAAGCAAGCAUGUGGCUCCGGAGAGUGGGCGGGCAGCUCUGCAGCUGUUCCAACUUUCAGCCGCCUUCCCAGGCCACGAAGACUCCAGCCCUGGGCUUGUCCGAACCGGACUGGGGAAUGUGAGGUCUUCAGGAGGAGGUAGGACAAGUGGAACAUGAAAGGGCAAGGAAUACAUUAGAGCUGCAUCUUUUCUUGGAAAAAUGGCAUCAAAAUGUGCAACUUUAUUCAGCUGGCUGGUGUGUAUCCAGGUGGAACCUGGAGUGUAGACACCCAUGCCAGCUCCACCUUCCCUGACCAAGAGGCAUUGGAUGGCUACGGGGACCCAGGGAGCUCUGCCCAGAGAAAAAUGGCCAGGCCGACCUCUUCUAGUCUCCUGCAGGCUCAGAAAGGCCUGGGGUGCUCUAUGCCUGAGUAUCACUAUAGACAUUGAGAAAUGGACUGUCCCCAGCCCACUCUGGGUUUGUGGCUUUGGGGAAGCAUGGGACCUGUCAAGUGAUGCACCCAAUUCAGCACAAGGCUGCCAGUGCAGUGGCCCUUGUAGUCUUCCACAGGCAGCAGAGAAAGUGGCCUGAAGGCAGGGGAUGCAGGGCCAGCUCCAAGGUGAUCAAUUGUGUGGUCAGUUCUCCAGGCGUGAGACCAGAAGUUGGUAUAGUCUUUGUUUCCAGACCUGCCUGUCAGCAAGUCAGGUGAUUCUGAUUCCGACAGCUCUUCCUACUAGAGGGUCUGGGGUCAUCCGGGCUCUACCUCUGAAGGCUUGCCUCCAAAAAUAGCCUUUUCCUCCUGUGCUGGGGGCUCUGGGCCAUGGGCCCUGCCGGAAAAUGUUAGUUUCCAAGGCAGACAGACAUCUGGAAGCACCAACUGGCCACACGCUGAUGGUCAGGCCAUGGCUAAGUGUCACGUGGCAUUAGGGGUGACAUCUGGCCCUGGAACACUCUCUAUCCUGUCCCUUUUAUUGUGCAAAUUUUGCACAUGUUCAAAGCCCAAGUCACAGCAGGUCCAGUGGGCAUGUUGGGGCCUCAAAGAUGUGCACCCCAGGAACACUGAAGUUGGAACUGUCUUCCCAGCGCUACAGGGAGCCCGUGGCCAUCACCUUGGGAAGGAGGCUGUCCCCUGAGCUGUUGCUGCAUCCCCACCGAGAGGCUUGUCCGGCUGCCUGGUGUGAGUCAUGGGCCUGCUGUCAGGAUUCAGAAGCUUGAGCCGUUUCCUGCAGAUAAGGGCUAAGUGCAAGGGAAACCUGGCGGGAGGUCGCCCUGCUGCCAGAGAGCACUUCCUCCAGAGCCCCCCAGUGCUAAUUAGCCAUUCCAAGCAUAGUUUCAAAAACAUUUAGGGAUUUCCUCAUCAAAAUAAACUUCCUCCUGUAUUAUCUUCA